CCUGACCGAACUCGACAAGCUGCAAGGCCAGGGCGUGAAGAUCUCGCCCGACAAUCUGCGCGUCGCCGAAAACGUCACGCUGAUUCUGCCGCUGCAUCGUGAACUCGAUGCCGUGCGCGAGAACGCCAGCAAGGCCAACGCCAUCGGCACCACCCAGCGCGGUAUCGGCCCGGCGUAUGAAGACAAGGUCGGCCGCCGCGCGA
rnacentral:misc_RNA from 1 species